rnacentral:rRNA from 1 species
UGACUGCGUACCUUUUGUAUAAUGGGUCAGCGACUUAUAUUCUGUAGCAAGGUUAACCGUAUAGGGGAGCCGGAGGGAAACCGAGUCUUAACCGGGCGUUAAGUUGCAGGGUAUAGACCCGAAACCCGGUGAUCUAGCCAUGGGCAGGUUGAAGGUUGGGUAACACUAACUGGAGGACCGAACCGACUAAUGUUGAAAAAUUAGCGGAUGACCUGUGGCUGGGGGUGAAAGGCCAAUCAAACCGGGAGAUAGCUGGUUCUCCCCGAAAGCUAUUUAGGUAGCGCCUCGUGAAUUCAUCUCCGGGGGUAGAGCACUGUUUCGGCUAGGGGGCCAUCCCGGCUUACCAACCCGAUGCAAACUGCGAAUACCGGAGAAUGUUAUCACGGGAGACACACGGCGGGUGCUAACGUCCGUCGUGAAGAGGGAAACAACCCAGACCGCCAGCUAAGGUCCCAAAGUCAUGGUUAAGUGGGAAACGAUGUGGGAAGGCCCAGACAGCCAGGAUGUUGGCUUAGAAGCAGCCAUCAUUUAAAGAAAGCGUAAUAGCUCACUGGUCGAGUCGGCCUGCGCGGAAGAUGUAACGGGGCUAAACCAUGCACCGAAGCUGCGGCAGCGAACGUAUCACCCAAGACAACUUUACGGAGUUGACGAUUGACGGAGCGAAGCGACGUCAAAGCGUUCAUUAAAGUCGAGUUGGCUUAGGGAUACGUUCGUUGGGUAGGGGAGCGUUCUGUAAGCCUGUGAAGGUGUGUCGUGAGGCAUGCUGGAGGUAUCAGAAGUGCGAAUGCUGACAUAAGUAACGAUAAAGCGGGUGAAAAGCCCGCUCGCCGGAAGACCAAGGGUUCCUGUCCAACGUUAAUCGGGGCAGGGUGAGUCGACCCCUAAGGCGAGGCCGAAAGGCGUAGUCGAUGGGAAACGGGUUAAUAUUCCCGUACUUGGUGUUACUGCGAAGGGGGGACGGAGAAGGCUAUGUUGGCCGGGCGACGGUUGUCCCGGUUUAAGCGUGUAGGUGUGUGUUCCAGGUAAAUCCGGUU